rnacentral:misc_RNA from 1 species
GGAAGGAUCAUUAAAACGUUCCAAUAACGUAUACCUUUGUCGAACUUGUUUAACUAUACACGUCUUUCUGUCGACUAAAGCUAGAGGUUUAAAAGCUAAUAGUAGUGGGGGUGGCUGUUCACGCAUUCCUUCUGUCUCUUCGGAGAUGGGGGUGGAGUGUAGAGUGGCCGUUAUACCUCAAAGCUGCCCUCUAGGUAUGUCUAGGACUUCUCUCCGGAGGAGUUCUGGUAUGCUGGCGCUAGACGUUUCGUUCACCACUGCUUUAUUUCAUUUUAACCACUUUUAUAUUUUGUCUAAUUGUUUUUAUAACAAAAAACAAAUUUACGAACAAUUCUUAGCAACGGAUAUCUUGGUUCUCGUAACGAUGAAGAACGCAGCGAAAUGCGAUACGUAAUGCGAAUUGCAGAAUUCAGUGAAUCAUCAAAUCUUUGAACGCAACUUGCGCUCUUGGGUAUCCCUGGGAGCAUACCUCUCUGAGUAUCGUUUCAAACCAAACUCGCCUGCGUGGCGGUGAAUGGAAGUCAUAAGUAAGCCUUAUGUCUUCUUAAGUAGAUAAGCUUUCAUUAAUAGUCAACGUUCGCUGAGUUCCUCUUCACGGAGGGGUUCAACCGCGCUGAUGUAUGAUAAGAUUUCUUCUGGGCUUCGGCUUGGGACUUGUCCAAAAUCAAACAUUGGCAAUGCGGAGAAUGCUGAUUCGAUAGCUUCAAAGACAAUCUCGAGUCACUCUGUGAUUCUUGACUCUGAUCUCAGAUGAAGUAAGAUUACCCGCCGAAUUUAAGCAUAUUAUUAAGCGGAGGAAAAGAAACUAACAAGGAUUCCCCUAGUAACGGCGAGUGAAGCGGGAAGAGCUCAAAGUUAAAAUCGGCGCUCUUAGCGGGGUGUCCGAAUUGUAAUCUAGAGACAUCAAUCCAGCUGUGACCUGGGUAUAAAUCUUUUUGAAACAGGGUAUCAUAGAGGGUGAGAAUCCCGUCUUUGACCUGGAGAUCGCAGCGUACGGAUGGUGCUCAACGAGUCGAAUAGCUUGGGAAUGCUGUUCAAAAUGGGUGGUAAAUUUCAUCUAAAGCUAAAUAUUGACGAGAGACCGAUAGCGAACAAGUACCGUGAGGGAAAGAUGAAAAGAACUUUGAAAAGAGAGUUAAAAAGUACUUGAAAUUGUUAAGAAGUAAGCACUGGAAACCAGUUGUGCCGGUCACUAUAUUCCACUCGGUCGUUUUGGAAUGGCGUUGUUGGCAGCGCAAGCGCUGGUGGCGUUAUUCUGGGGCGGUCGGGUGCAUCUGUGGUGGUUGGUGAGUCAGGAUCAGGUAGACCUGGAGGAGAAAGCAGUCUGAAGGUAAUUGUGCUUGCACAAGACUAAUCUGCGGGCUGUGCUACUCUGGGACUGCCUGAGGAAACAACGACAAGGCGCGCCGCAAGGCAGCAGGUGGGAUUACCUGCAUUCAUCGUGGGCUAGGAGAAUAAAUUCUGCUGGUUUGCGGUGGGUGUACUGUGGUUUCACAUGACAGCGUCUUCGCGAUCUUGACGAAAUGGUUUUCAUUGACCCGUCUUGAAACACGGACCAAGGAGUCUAACAUAUAUGCGAGUAUUUGGGUGUACAAACCCUGAUGCGCAAUGAAAGUGAAGGCAGCUUAUGUUGCUGAGGUAGGAACGCAAGGGCACUAUCGACCGAUCGUUCACUUGUGAAAGAUUUGAGUAAGAGCAUAUCUGUUGGGACCCGAAAGAUGGUGAACUAUGCCUGAACAGGGUGAAGCCAGGGGAAACUCUGGUGGAGGCUCGUAGCGAUACUGACGUGCAAAUCGUUCGUCUGAUUUGGGUAUAGGGGCGAAAGACUAAUCGAACUAUCGUAGUAGCUGGUUCCCGC